GGGAAACAACCCAGACCGCCAGCUAAGGUCCCAAAGUCAUGGUUAAGUGGGAAACGAUGUGGGAAGGCCCAGACAGCCAGGAUGUUGGCUUAGAAGCAGCCAUCAUUUAAAGAAAGCGUAAUAGCUCACUGGUCGAGUCGGCCUGCGCGGAAGAUGUAACGGGGCUAAACCAUGCACCGAAGCUGCGGCAGCGACGCUUAUGCGUUGUUGGGUAGGGGAGCGUUCUGUAAGCCUGCGAAGGUGUGCUGUGAGGCAUGCUGGAGGUAUCAGAAGUGCGAAUGCUGACAUAAGUAACGAUAAAGCGGGUGAAAAGCCCGCUCGCCGGAAGACCAAGGGUUCCUGUCCAACGUUAAUCGGGGCAGGGUGAGUCGACCCCUAAGGCGAGGCCGAAAGGCGUAGUCGAUGGGAAACAGGUUAAUAUUCCUGUACUUGGUGUUACUGCGAAGGGGGGACGGAGAAGGCUAUGUUGGCCGGGCGACGGUUGUCCCGGUUUAAGCGUGUAGGCUGGUUUUCCAGGCAAAUCCGGAAAAUCAAGGCUGAGGCGUGAUGACGAGGCACUACGGUGCUGAAGCAACAAAUGCCCUGCUUCCAGGAAAAGCCUCUAAGCAUCAGGUAACAUCAAAUCGUACCCCAAACCGACACAGGUGGUCAGGUAGAGAAUACCAAGGCGCUUGAGAGAACUCGGGUGAAGGAACUAGGCAAAAUGGUGCCGUAACUUCGGGAGAAGG
rnacentral:rRNA from 1 species